rnacentral:rRNA from 1 species
ACUCAAAUGAAUUGACGGGGGCCCGCACAAGCGGUGGAUCAUGUGGUUUAAUUCGAAGCAACGCGAAGAACCUUACCUGGGUUUGACAUCCCCUGACAACUGUAGAGAUACAGCUUUAGUAGCAAUACUACAGGGAGACAGGUGCUGCAUGGCUGUCGUCAGCUCGUGUGGUGACAUGUUGGGUUAAGUCCCGCAACGAGCGCAACCCCUGUCCUUAGUUGCCAUCAUUAAGUUGGGCACUCUAGGGAGACUGCCGUGGUUAACACGGAGGAAGGUGGGGAUGACGUCAAGUCCUCAUGGCCCUUAUAUCCAGGGCGACACACGUGAUACAAUGGCCGGUACAAAGGGACGCCAAAGGGUGACCUGGAGCAAAUCCCAAAAAGCCGGUCUCAGUUCGGAUUGGAGUCUGCAAUUCGACUCCAUGAAGGUGGAAUCGCUAGUAAUCGCGGAUCAGCACGCCGCGGUGAAUACGUUCCCGGGCCUUGUACACACCGCCCGU